rnacentral:rRNA from 1 species
CCUACGGGUGGCUGCAGUGGGGAAUAUUGGACAAUGGGGGCAACCCUGAUCCAGCCAUGCCGCGUGUGUGAAGAAGGCCCUCGGGUUGUAAAGCACUUUCAGUGAGGAAGAACGCCUGGUGGUUAAUACCCAUCAGGAAAGACAUCACUCACAGAAGAAGCACCGGCUAACUCCGUGCCAGCAGCCGCGGUAAUACGGAGGGUGCGAGCGUUAAUCGGAAUUACUGGGCGUAAAGCGCGCGUAGGUGGCUUGAUAAGCCGGUUGUGAAAGCCCCGGGCUCAACCUGGGAACGGCAUCCGGAACUGUCAAGCUAGAGUGCAGGCGAGGAAGGUAGAAUUCCCGGUGUAGCGGUGAAAUGCGUAGAGAUCGGGAGGAAUACCAGUGGCGAAGGCGGCCUUCUGGACUGACACUGACACUGAGGUGCGAAAGCGUGGGUAGCAAACAGGAUUAGAUACCCUGGUAGUC